AUGAACGCUGGCGGCGUGCCUAAUACAUGCAAGUCGAGCGAACGGACGAGAAGCUUGCUUCUCUGAUGUUAGCGGCGGACGGGUGAGUAACACGUGGAUAACCUACCUAUAAGACUGGGAUAACUUCGGGAAACCGUAGCUAAUACCGGAUAAUAUUUUGAACCGCAUGGUUCAAAAGUGAAAGACGGUCUUGCUGUCACUUAUAGAUGGAUCCGCGCUGCAUUAGCUAGUUGGUAAGGUAACGGCUUACCAAGGCAACGAUGCAUAGCCGACCUGAGAGGGUGAUCGGCCACACUGGAGCUGAGACACAGUCCAGACUCCUACGGGAGGCAGCAGUAGGGAAUCUUCCGCAAUGGGCGAAAGCCUGACGGAGCAACGCCGCGUGAGUGAUGAAGGUCUUCGGAUCGUAAAACUCUGUUAUUAGGGAAGAACAUAUGUGUAAGUAACUGUGCACAUCUUGACGGUACCUAAUCAGAAAGCCACGGCUAACUACGUG
rnacentral:rRNA from 1 species